UGAAACUGUCCACACUAUGAUCUGCCUAGUUCAGAAAUAUGAAUAUAGUUCAGCUGAAAACCCAUCUAAAAGAAUAUUUUGAUUGGGUUUGCAUUGUUUAAAAAUUAAAGAAUUGAGUCUUUAUGGGACUAUAUCUCAUUGUUUAAUAGUAGCACUUGGAUAUUUGACAUUUUGCCUCAUAAUUGGUUGUAAUGGAAAUUCAUUUUGGAUGCUGCUACUUGUAAAAUUAGUAUACAAAUUGUUUCAUCUAAGUUAGCCACAUAGACAUGGCCCAGAAGUCAUUCCCCUUGCAUUGAUUUUCCUGAAUAACAUGGCAUUUUCAUUUUCACCUGCAUUUUGCCUUCUCCUUCCCUCCUGAAACUGUUUUGUCUACAUUCUGAACCUUUUCCAUCUCUUGAACACCUUAUCUAACAAGUGUGCUGAGUUUCUUAUUUAUUUUUAGAAAAUUGGAGUUAGCAAAAAAAGUUAUAGUAAAACAUAGAAUGAAAUUACUGAAAAAUAAAUUCUUUUUAAGGUUCUAAAGAGUCAUUAGAUUUGUAGUGUACUUGAAUUUAAAGUAGAAAAAAGCUUUAUACAUUGUAGGUGUUUAAAUAUUUUAACAAAAUGAUUUGAAUUUGUUGGACAUCUUACCUGUGUCUCCUUGCAGAGUGAAACAAAUUUUGUGCUAUGAAUAUUUCCCAAGUUCCUUUAUUGCUUUAAACUUAUUAGGUGAUUUUUAAACCCAUGUUAUGUUCAGAUUUCCUAAUGUCCUAGUUGAAACCCACAUUUCUAAACCAGGAUCAGAUCUGAAGUCAUGAACCUGGAGUUUGAGUACCAGCUCUGAUACACUCACUUACCUGAGUGAGAAUGGGAAGGCACUCAGAGAAUUUGAAUGCAUUUCUUCACCUGACAAUGGGGAUAAUGACAUUUUUACACCUAUUUCACAGGAUUUUAUGAGGAAAAAUGCCAAAUUGCUAUUCAAAUGUGAGUUGUUAUCAUUAAUAUAUAGAGGUAUGUUUCUGGGUCCUAACCAAAAAACAAACAUGAGAUAUCAUCCAAAAUAAAGGGACAUGUUAAUUCUUUUGCAAGAGGAGUAUUGACUCAUAUCUGAGAGUCUAAAGCAUGAUUUAUUAUUUUUUUGGAGGGGCUACCUCUGUGAUUUACUAGUACAAGGAACUCCUGGAAUGGAAUUUUUGUGAUUCUCAUUGGCAUAGGUUGCCAGGUAGCAUAGAAGGUCGAGCAUGGGACGUGGAAUCAAGAAAAUAUGAUUUCAAAUUUGGCCUCAGAUACCUCCUAGCUAUGUGACUCUGGGCAAAUCAUUUAAGCUCCCUGGGUCUCAUAUUCUCCAUUUGUAAAGUGAAAAUAUUGACCUCCCAGGACUGAUGCGAGGAUCAAAUGAGUUAACCUAUAUAAAAUGCUUUGUAAACCUUAAACUCUCUAUAUUCUAUGGGUACCCUCUCUGCAACUUAAUGUUUUAGAGAGUUGUUUGAGACACUGAGAGGCCCUGGUUCAAUAAUUCAACAAGAAUUUAUUAAGAGACACUGAAUGUGAAUUGAGGUUUCCUCUGACACAGGUUAGCUUCCUCUUCACUGUGAAACAUAGCUUCACCCUGUAGAAUAACAUAGAAACAAUAUUUUUAUUGCAUAUAUUUUACAUAGUCAUCCUGUUUUUUUUUAAAAGUAAAACACACACACACACACACAUACACACACACACACACACACACAGACACGAUUUGCUACAGAUGCCACUGGCUUCUUUGAUAGUCAGGAUGAUCAUUCCCUCUAACUAUCUGCAUAAUGACCCAUUGGUCAUACUUUAUUCUAUGAGAUUCUUGUUUGGCCCCUUCAAUAAAUCUUUUUCCUUAAAGGACCUACCAUAAGUGUUAUAGGCUUUCCUCCAGGUCUUGAAAAACAAAGCAAUGACCCCCCUCCCCAACUCUCCCUCCCUAAAACCCAAACUCAAAUCCAACCAAAUUUCAAAACUUUACAUGGUACUAAUGUAGCCCUCAGGCUGUCCAUCUGUUAUCGUUCACCCUCACUGUGUAACUAGUCCAUCUCUCUCUUUUUUUGGGGGGGGGGCAUACAUGUCUUAGGUGAGCUCUUUAACAGAAUUUCUUCUGUGCCAGGCAGAGCUGGAAAUGUUACAGCCACAGUUGUGCUGGUAAAUGUUUAACAAACCAGCACUUUGAAAAAAAUGUAUUCAUGUCAGCUUUUAAGUUUAAACUGAAUUAUUAACAUUGAUUUCUUCACUUUCUUAAGUCUAGACAAUCAACAAAACUACUUAAUCAAGUCCCGAUUUGUGCCCCAAUUUGUGCUGAGAUGUAAAUACAGCCAUUGGAAUUACCUCCAAUCCCUCCCCCCCCCCCACCCCAUGUUUUCUUUAGUUUAUCUGUAAUUUUGAUUCUUUGGAGAUGGUGACGAUCUUUGAUUCACAGCCAUAUCACAUCUCCAGAAAAAUAAUGCUGCCUAAAAUGAAGGCUUUUUUAAAAGAGGUGUAAUGGGAGGAAAUGGGGCAGCGAGCAAUUUGAAAUUGCUAAAAAUAGUGCACGUGUUCCCAAAAUUCAGUCUAGUCUUUUCUCUUCCUCCUAUUCAGUUCUCUCUCUCCUUAUUUUUAAUUUUCAGUGCCUGUAUGUGAUAUGUAGACUGUUAGGCCAACUCAUUGGAGAGUCAUCCAACUAGUACUUAAAGUAUUUGUUAUGUGCUGGUUCUUUAUUAGGUGCUGGCUAUACAAAGAGAUGCAAUAACAUUCCCUAGGCUCAAGGAGUUCACAGUGGAAGGUGAGGAGACAACAUGCAAAGAGCUAUGUACAAACAGGGUAUAGACAUAAUAAGUUGGAGGUGAUUUCAGAGGGAAGGUGCAAAGAUUAAAGAGGACUGUGAAAGGCAGAGUUUUUUAGGUGGGGGAUGGUGUUCUUUGAGUCCAAAGUAGUAGAAUGGACAGUGCCAGCCUGGAAAUUGUGAAGCCCUGGCUUCAAAUCCUGUCUCUGGCUCAUGCUAGCUGUGUGACCAGGGACAAAGCAAUUACCUUCUAAGAAUGAUCCAGACAGUUCUCCAAGACUUUGAUUAUACAGGCUUUGUUAAUCUGUAUUGGCAGAGGGAAUUCCCCACACUAGAGGUGUCAAACGCUCUUUGCAAAAGAACUCGGUCAAGUCAGAUGAAAAUCAAAUUGGGAAAUGCUUAACAAAUAAAUGAAAAUAUGGUAUGUAACAUAGAUCAUAUUUGUGCCUUUCUAAGUCAGAGUGCACAGGGAUCCCUUUAUUUGAGUUUGAAAUUACUACCCUCUCGCAAUGAAGUCAUAGGUUUCCGCACUUUUAUCAUAAUCUGGAUGUUAGGCAUCUUUAAUUAGUUUUUUCUUUUGUGGAAUGUUUGGUCUCCUUUCAAGUGGGCAUUGAUUUCAGUGAGGGGGCACUGUAGUAUACUGGGAACUUGAUGAAAUCAAUGCAUUGUCAUCUGCAAACUAGCAUCUGGAGGACCUUCCCAAAGUGAAGUAACUUCCAUUUGGACUUUCAUAUGUUGGACAUAUUCUAUGAGGGUGAUGAAGGCUUUGGUGGGGAUAGUUCUCUCGUUUAUGCCUUGCUCAAACAGAGUUAUCUGUAAUUGCAACUGUCAAGGAAUCGUGUAUGAUCUUAACAUCAACAUGAAAGACAUUUGUUGGAAAGCCUAUAAGACUAUAUUUUGCUCUACCAAGUCAUAUGCUUUUUUUUAUGAUCAACAAGCAGCAAACGCAGUGGAAUCAUGUAUUUUCUGCAUUUUUUAGUUGAUUGUGGAACUGUGAAAAUGUGAUCUGCUUGCUAUUGCAUUGCCUUUGGAUAAAACAGCAGCAGGAUGAUCUGAUUUCAAGAGUGAAGAAUAUUCACUCUGCAUUUUAAAUAAGAGCAUAAGUAAGAAUAAAUGUAUCCUUCGUGCAAUUCUGGGUCAUGGCCAUACUUUAUUCUUGCUGGAUAGAUUAGCAAUUGUACCUAAUCUUCUCUCUGACACAAUAAGAUUAAUGAAUUGGUCUCCAGAAUCAAGUCUAAGGAAUUGUUUUCAGGAUAAGAAAUAAACUUGUUUUUGCUAAACUGUGAAGAGAUUGAUGCCCUUAAUUCAGUUGCAUUUUGUUUAUUUCAGUGUGCAAAAUGUCUGGGCUUGUGAGUUCUAUACCUGAUUUGUCACCUUAGGAAAAGAUAAUUUGGGAUCUUUCACAUUUCCAAAUUAUGUAGUGCCUAAGGAGUUGACCUCACUGACAAAUGGGAUGUUACUGCAUUACACUCCAACAGGAUGCCAUGAGAUGGCCGAUGGUGUAAGCAGAAUAUUACUUUAUUAACAGAGACACUGGAUUCCAAAGGUUAAUGUUUUUGUGUGUAAGACAAAUUACCCAGCAGAUUUGCAUCUUGAAAGAAAUAGUAGUCUCUCUUCACAUAGGCUUGUUUUGUGCAGGGUUGUUUUUUUUUUUUAAGCAGGUUGUGGAUUGCCAGGAUUUUAGAUGUGUAACCUUAUUACAGAUCUUUGAAAACAAUGAUUUUUUUUCCAGAAAAGGGAAACUUUUCUAGCAAUUUUAAUUUGGGAAUUUCCCUUCUUCCUGCAGUCUAUGUAAUUCUGAUUUUUCUAAAUGCAAUUGGAGAUGCAGGGGUGAGGUAAGCCCACAGUAUUGACUGUGGAGGUAAUGAGGUCUGGGGGAAAAACCAAUUUGGUGACUUAAUAAUUGUCUGAUAUGGAUCAGAGACAUGAGACUUGAGUUAGAAUCAUGUAAUCAAAUAGAAUAGUAGAUUUCGAAGAGAAAUUAUCAGGUAUGACUCUCAUCUAACACAGAAAUGCUCUAUGUAAUAUUUGUGAUAGGUAGUUACUCAACCUUUGCUUAAAGACCUUCAAUAAUGUAGAAAUCCCUCCCUCCUCAGUUAGCCCAUUCUACUUUUGGGCAGCUUUGAGUGUUAGGAUGUUUUCCCUUAUAUCCCGUUAAAAGCUGGUCCUUUGUAAUUCUUACUCAUUGGUUAUAAUUCUGCUCUGUAGUGUUAACCAGAGCAACAUUAAUCCCAAUUCUAUAUUAUUUUUCUUCCAACUAUUUGGAGGCAGCAAUUGUAUCCCUCCCGGUAAUAACUUUUAAAAAAUUUCUUAAACAUUUUGGUUAAUUUUUUAAUUUUUAUCAAUUAUAUAUUAAAACAUUUUAAAAUAUUCAUUUAAAAAGUUUUUGAAUUCCAAAUUCUUUCCUUCUUGCCCUCUUUCUCCUUGAGAAGGCAAGGAAUUUACUCUAACUUAUACAUUCACACUCACACAAAACAUAAAUAUUUUUCUAUUAGCAUGUUGCAAAAGAAAACAGACAACCCCAUAAAAUAAAGAAUAUAAGAAAAGUAUGCUUUGACCUGAAAUCAGACUUUAUAAGUUCUUUUUUUGGAGGUAUAUAGCACUUUUCAUCAUAAUUCCUUUAGAAUUGUCUGUAUUGCUGAGAAUAAUGAGUUAUACACAGUUAAUCAUUGCUGUUACUGUGUGCAGUGUUCUUCUGGUUCUGCUCAUUUUGCCAUGCAUCAGUUUCUAUGUCUUCCUAGGUUUUUUAUCAUCAUUUCUUAUUGCACAAUAGUAAUACAUCACAGUCAUAUGCCAUAACUUGUUCAGCCAUCCCCCAAAUGGUGGACAUUCCUUCAAUUUCCAAUUCUUUGCCACUACAAAAGUUAUAACUAAUUCUGAACUCAUAGGUCCUUUUACCUUUUCUUUGAUCUUGUUGAGACAUAGACCUAGAAGUAGUUUUUCUGGCAAAGAAUAAGCACAGUUAUAUAGUCCUUUGGGCAUAGUUCCAAAUUGCUCUCCAGAAUGGUUAUGUCAUUCUAUAGCUCCACCAACAGUGCAUUAGUGCCUCGAUUUUUCCACAUCCUCUCCAACAUUUGUCAUUUUCCUUUUCUGUCAUAUUAACCAAUAUGAUAAGUGUGAAGUGGUACUUCAGAGUUGUUUUAAUUUGCAUUUCUCUAAUCAAUAGUGAUUUAGAACCUUUUUUCAUGUGACUAUAGUUUUUAUUUCUUCUUCUAAAAAUUCCCUUUUUAUAUCCUUUGACACAGAGCAAUUGAGGAAUGACAUUAUAAAUUUGACCCAGUUCUCUAUGUAUUUUUAGAAAUAAAGUCUCAGUCAGAGAAAUUUGCUCUGAACUCUCUCCCUCAGUUUUUUGAUUUUUUUUCUAAGCUAGGCUGGUUUUACCUUUUUAAAAUUUAAUGUAAUCAAAAUUCUCCACUGUAUAUCAUAUACUGCUGUUCAUCUCUUAUUGGUUCAAAAUUUUUCCUUUCACCAUAGAUCUGAUAGGCAAAAUAUUUCAUGCUCCCCUCAUUUGCUUAUGUUAUCACUCUUUAUGUCUAAAUUAUAUACUUAUUUUGACCUUAUCUUGGUAUAUGGUGUGAAUGGUGAUCUAUACCUAGUUUCUGCCAAACUGCUUUUCAGUUUUCACAGCAAUUUUUUUUUUGUCACAUAGUGAGUUCUUGUUUCAAAAGCUUGGAGUUUUGGAUUUAUCAAAUACUAAUUUACUAUGGUCAUAUAAUACCAUCUGUUGUGUGCCUAAUCUAUUCCAUUGACUCACCACUUUAUUUCUUAGCCAGUACUAGAUUGUUUAGAAUUACUGCUCUGUAAUACAAUCUGAGAUCUGAUAGUGCUAGGUACUUUCCAUUUUCUUUUAUUGAUUCCCUUGAGAUUCUUGUUUUUUUGUUCUUCCAGAUAAAUUUCAUUAUUUUUCUACCUUUAUACAGUUUUUUUGGGUAAUUUGAUUGGUAUAGUAAUGAAUAAGUAAAUUAAUUUAGGUAGAAUUGUCAUUUUUAUCAUAUUGUUUUGGCCUAUCCAUAAGCAAUAUUUUUUCAGUAGUUUAGAGCUGACGUUAUUUGUGUCAAAAGUGUUUAGUAAUUGCAUUCCUAUAAUUCCUGCAUUUUUCUUAGCAUAUAGACUCCCAAGUAUUUUAUAUCAUCUGCAGUUAUUUUAAAUGAAGUUUCUUUUUCUUUCUCUUCCUACUGGAUUUUGUUAGCAAUAUACAGAAAUGCUGAUGAUUUAUGUGCUUCUCUUUAAUAAUAUUUUGUUGUUUAGUCAUUUCAGUCAUUCUUGACUCUUCAUGAUCUCAUUUUAGAGUUUUCUUGGUCAAGAUACUGGAGUGAUUUAUCAUUUUCUUGUUCAGCUCACUUUUCAGAUGAGAAACUGAGGUGAGCAGGAUUAGUGACUUGCCUACAGUCACACAGCUAGUAAGUGUCUGAGUCUGGAUUUGGAUUUGGAAGAUUAGUGUUCCUGACUUCAAGCCCAGCAUUCUGUGCCACUUAUGCACAAGUAGAAAGGUCCAUCUCAGGGAGUAGUGGAUUCUCCCUCCCUAGAAAUGUUCCACGUAAAAGCUCGAUAUGUUACAUAUGCUUUAAGAGAGAACUCUGUUCAGAUAAGCAUUAGACCAGAUGGCUACUGUUAUCCUUUUUCCUCUGAGACUCUGUGGUUGUCACAGACAAUCUGGCUGUCAGAGAAUUUUAGAAGAGAAAGGGACAUCAGUCAGUGGCCAUCUAGUCCAGCAACAAUUUGUCUUACCAAUUCACUGGUCUGGAGUUGGUAUCUGUUUAGAGUUCUAAGAGAAGUAGCCACUAAAGUUAAGACUGACUUAGAGUUCUGAGAUAGUAGCUGCUCAUUUAAAUGCGAUAUAUUGUAGAAUACUAGAGUGAAGAGAAAACAGUAUGCUUCGGUGAUAUAUAGAUGGAGAAUUUGAAAACUUUUAGUUAUUUCAAGUCAAUGAGAACUCAUUAAAUGCUUUCUGUGUGACAGGUACUACAGUUAGUAUUAGAGAAACAAAGAAAUACAAAAACAGGCUCUGUCCUCAAGGAACUCCAAGUCUAAUGCUAGGAAAGCUUGCAAAUAAGUAUGUACAAACAAGAUGUAUAUGUGUAUAUAAUAUACAGAUGAUUUAAAUACACUAUAUUAUCUGUAUAUAAUUAGAGAUAUUCUCAGAGGGAUGGCACUAGUAUUAAGGGGAAUUGGAACGUCUUGCAAAAGGUGAGAUUUUAACUUAAACUUGAAGUCAAGGAAAUCAGGAGAUAGAGAUGAGGAGGGAAGGCAUUCCAAGGAUGGGAGAAAUUCAUUGAAAAUGUAGAGUUUGAAUAUGCAAUAUUUGUGUGGAGAACAGAAAGGAGAUCAGUGUCACUUAUCAGAGGAAAAAUAUGGGCACCAGCAUUUUUGUAUUAUUGGGGUAAAAUGUAAUUUAUCCAGUCAUUGGCAGAAGGUAAACCAUUUAUUUAGCAAUAAGACAAAAGAAAUAAUAAUGACACCAUAGGGAUUUACAUAUUAAAACAAAUACAAAAACAAUAAAGACAUGAUAAUUCACACAUAAAUCUGAUUCACAUUCUCUUAAUGAUCCUUUAUCAGAUAUCUGUAAGGGAGUUACACACCUAAAAAAGCUUCUCAAAGAGGCAUAUGAGUGAACAUAAUUCACAAUUAUGGAACUAUAAAUUUCACUUUCUCCCUUUGGUCUCACUAACUGUCCAUAAAAGUUCUUUAUUAAAUAUAGUUUCUACAUUGAGUAGAUGCUUUUCCCAAUAAACUGAGUUGAACUUUUUUCUGUUUAAUUAACAAUUGACUGAACAUUAUGUCUCGGCCUAGCUAGUCGUUCUGCUGCGUGACUUCUCUCAGUCACUAUUUCCAAUAUUUUUUUCUACAUGGCUAAUUGUUGAUAACCAUAUUCUCAUCUUCUAUCUAUGUCCUUGAAGAAUAUAAAUGAAUAAGAUGAAUAUGAAGAAUAUAUCUCAACCAAUUUUACAUAUUACAUGCAAAUGAAAGUCUAUUAGUUAUGCAGAUGAUAAUAUUCAUUGAGACAAUCCACAACAAAGGGAAUUCAGGCUAGAAAAAUGUAUUUUAUCAAGCCAUUUAUAAUAAUGAACUUUGUUGUGAUGAAAAUAACCCAGGCCAGCCCAAUUCCUAAUUUUAGUAGUUCACUGUAUUAUUAUAAUAGGAUUUAAAAUUAAGAGUUAUUGGAAAUGGGCUCAGAAUUGUCCAACAAGAAGUGACUUUAAAUAGUUUAGGUUCCAUCUUGUCAAAGGACUUUGCUAUGAUCAUUUUGGUAGAGGCAAUAAUAAAAACCCAAAUGGCCUGAAGUCUAGAAGGAAAGAACCUUGAUAAUCAAUAUAAUAGUUAAUUAUUGAAUACACCAGAGAGCCAAAGGGCUUGGAGAUAAAAGGACCAUAGGAGUCAUUUAAUCUAACAACCUCAACCUUCAUUUUUUAUGAGCUGCCAACCAGUAUCAUUGAAUCCCAGUGUAGAGAAUCCCUCCAACAAAACAGAUUACAACCCAGCUCAUCUACAACAGUAGAUAGUUCUUGGACAUUGCCUGAAGUUAAAUAACUUGUUCAGGAUGACAUUAGCUAAUAGUUGUAAGAAGUGGAGUUUGAAACCCAAGUUUUCCUGACUUCAAACCUAGUACUCUUUAUCUACUACAUCAUACUACCUCUAUAACUCAUAGAUACUUCAUUAACUUUUGAGGAAACUAUGGUCAUAUUGAUAUUCAGCAUUUGAAUACAAAUUCUCUUUCUAAAUCUAAUCCAAUCAAAUAAACAUUAAUUUCUGACUGUAUUCAAGGCACUAUACUAAAUGCUGGGACUAAAAUUAAUGAAAACAAAGAUAGUUCCUUCCCUUAAGGAGCUGACAAUGUAAAGAGUGAGACAACAAACAUAAAGGGACAGAGAUGAAAGAGAGGUGAAACUAAAGAGUAUUCGAUGUAGAAGAAUCUCUUGUGGAGUUGAAAACCAGGUAGAGCAGCAGAUACAGAGUGGAGUGAGCCAAGAGUCUAAAUUUUACUCUCUAUAAAGGAAGGCUUUGGGAGAACUUUGAUACCUCGCCCUCCAAACCUCAAAUCAGAAGGGAGAGACGCUGAGAAAGGUGGAGUCAAUUAAAGUUUGAGUUUGCAGGUUGUGAAUUUGGAAGUGACUCUUGGGCAGUGCAUCUUGUUCUAUGGAGAUGAAACCAGGCAAGUUAGCAGAUGCAAGAUGGAUGAGUGGCUCUUUCUAUAUUGGAUCAUCUAAAGAUUACUAAAAUCUAGUCCUUUUUAAAUGUUGGCUCAUCCCACCCAAUUUUUGACCUUCUGAUUGGCUGUUAUAAUCCUGGGGGACUUAGUCUAUUACUUGAAUGGUUAACCCGUUGUAUAUCAUCCUCGCUACAGGUCUACUGAAUAUCUCUUUUCUCAAUGGACUGCCUCAACAUCAUCAGAGAGUCUCAGCCUUCUGCAUACUCUACACCUAUCGUGAUCACUUGUGAAGUUUUCACCACAUUCUUCUUUCCAUUGUACACAGGAGGGGACUACAAAUUUCUGCUCAUUAAUCAUCAUGGAAUCUUUACUAAAGAUCCAUUCCCCCACCAUAGAGGAUUAUAUGCAAUUUGCCAGUAUCAAUUUAAAGGUAUGAGAGAUGGAGUCAAGAUGGUGGCUUAAAGGCAGCAAAAGUUCAGACCUCCACAAAACCCUUCCUCACCAAUCAAAAACACAAUGCUUCAAGGGGACUGAAAACCAAAUCUAACAACAGGACAGAGGAGAAAAGGUAUGCCACCCGCCCCCCAAAGCCUGAAUUCUAAAACACUUCAGUUUAAGGGAAAGAAAGAAGAAAGCCCAGGACCCCUCCCCUACCUACACAGCUGAGCCUCCAGUAGCAGCUGGAGUCUCUAGGCAGGAAAGCGAGCUAGUCUGGAGGGAGUACCUUGCUGGCACAACUGUACCAGGCUCAGAGCAUUGAACACAGGUGGCAGGGAGGCAGCUGGAGGAGAAGCACAGAGAAGGCAGCCUAGUCACAGCCAAGACCCUCCAUCUCCCCCCCCCCCUUUCUCAAGGUAUCAGCCAAAGUGUACAUCCAGUUUGCAGAUCAACUCCACCCAGUCUCAAUCUUAUCAAUAGGACAGAUAAGAAGCCUUCAGAGAGCCUGGAAAGCUCAAGCUCCAAACCCCCACCCGCACAGACUGCUCUGACAGCCUUGCUGAUUUAGCUCCAAGGUUAAAGACUUCAACUACUGCAGGCUACAACCUUGAUAACAGGGUGGGAAGCCCAGUUGCUUUUCAGAUUCUGCUGCCAGCUGGGGAAGAUCUGACCUCCGGUCUCAUCAAUACCAAAAGUCUAACCUGAUCAAUAAGCAGAGCAGAGAAGAAGCCCCUUCAGGACAGAACAGCCCAAAUCCACAGAUCCAGCACAUAAUGAGAGGAACAAGACUACAGGCAACUACAGGGGGGAAAUAAGGGGAAAAGAAUAUGAGUAAACAAAUGAAAAAAAAAAGAAAUUACAAUCGACAGCUUCUAUCCAGGCAAUGAAUGAAGAGAAAAUGGAACAGAGGAGGAUCAAGGAACACUAAGCCAAAACAUAGAAACUCCUAUGAAUUGGACACAGGCUUUGGAAGAACUCAAAAUACAAUUCAAAAAGCAAUUAAGAAAGGCUGAAAACAACUGGGGAAAGAACUUAAAAAGCAAAAUAAGUCAUCUGAAACAGAAAAUAGUGUCUUGAAAGCCAAACUUAACCAGCUUGAAAAUGAGGCAAAGGAGAUGAAAGAUAAGGCAAAGAAGAUGAAAGAUGAACUCCAAAGAAAAUCAGACCAGAAGGAGAAGGAUGACCAAAAAGCAAGGGAUGAAAUCCAGUCUUUAAAAACUAGAAUCCAAAAAGUAGAAGCAAAUGACUCUAAAAAGCAGCAAGAAUCUAUAAAACAAAAUCAAAAGAAUGAAAAAUUUGAGGAAAAUGUGAAACACCUCAUUGACAAAACCAUUGGACUGGAAAACAGAUCCAGGAGACACAGUAUAAGAAUUACCAGACUAUUGGAAUACCAUAACAAAAGAAAAAUUCUGGAUGUCAUUCUACAGGAAAUUAUCCAAGAAAAAUGCCCUAAUAUUAUAGAGCAAAAGGUAAAAGUGGAGAUUGAAAGAAUCCAUAGAUCAUCUCCUGUACUUAAACCUCAAUUGACAACACCCAGGAAUAUUAUAGCCAAAUUCAAGAACUACCAGACCAAGGAAAAAAUACUACAAGCUGCUAAGAAGUCAUUCAUAUACCAUGGAAUCACAGUUAGGAUACCACAAGAUCUGGCUGCAUCUACAUUGAAGGACCGAAAAGCAUGGAAUAUGAUAUUCCAGAAAGCAAGGAAACUGGAUCUACAACCGAGAGUCAACUACCCAGAAAAACUGACUAUAUUCUUGCAGGGAAGAGUUUGGUCAUUUAAUGAAAUAGAAGACUUCCAACCAUUCAUAAAGAAAAGACCUGACUUAAACAGAAAAUUUGAUGCCCAAACACAGAACUCCAGCGAAUCACCAAAAGACAUCAAGAAAAAAAAUUUCUCAGAAAAAUAAUAACCUUCCCACACCACUAGACUGCUCUCCUAUCACAAGGAACAGGAGACAAUGGGGAGACAUUAUUUCAUCCGGAGAUCAUGGGAGAUCAUAGGAGAAGGACAUGUGAUCUAUAUUUUCUCUCUGCAGGAUUCAUUCUGUUCUCUCUAUAUAAGGUGUUUGUCAUUGUCAUGGGGAGAGGUGUAUGAGAAGAGAAACGGAGAGAUCUUUUAUUAAGUGCAUACUUUAUGUAAGGCACUUUGUUCUCCAGGCAGAGACCCUUUCCAGAAGUUCAGUAUUGUUGAAGACAAUAUAAACCAAUUUUCCAUUCUGGUUUGGAUAGAUGUGAAGAAGACCUCAAGAAGGACUUUAUUUUUUAAAAAAGUCUAAGUGACUAAUUGAAACAUAAGCUCCAGAACGCUUUAUGGUAAGGAGAAACUACAUGCUUUGUGGUAUUCUUUUGCAAAAAGGAGGAUGUGUGUGUGUGUGUGUGUGUGUGUGUGUGUUCAUGGGGCAUGUGUGUGGGUGUAUUCAUGUGUUUUGUGAGUCAUUCUCUCUUCUGGAAUUUUAAGUUGUAGCUCUAGCCUCAGAAUCAAUAUUUCAAUUAGAUGAUGUGGUGGUUUGGGGAUUGCUGCUUGAAUAGCUGGGAGAUUGGCCUUGGGUUUGUGGGAGAGGGAGAGGAGAAGAGCUUCAGAGUAGUUCAUGUUUACCUGAGCUUGCUCAGGACCAUCAGCUUUGCAUUAAAACUGUCAAAAUGGUAAAAGGAGCGGCCACCCCAGAAAUGAUGAUGAUGAUGAUGAUGAUGAUACUUUAGAGAUAUCAACAUCUUUUCUAUACUGUGUUUCUUUUACUUUCACAAAUUCCCCAAGAGGCAAUUAAGAUAGUGAUUCCUUAAUAGCAUUUUAAUUUUAAUUACAUUUUUUAUGGAUACCUUUUGUUUUUGUAUUACAUUUGUUUCUGUGUGUAUAUAUAUAUAUACACAUAUGUAUAUAUAUAAUAUAUAUAUAUUUCCCCCCUCAUGCCUCCAAAGGGUGCUCUCAAUUCCUGAUAAUAAAGAUUUAAAAAGAAAGAGCAAAAAAGUCCAAUUUAGUAAAACAAGUGAACACAUCAACAAGAUCAGAAAGUGUAUACAGUGUUGCACAUCCAUAGUCAUCCACCUUGGCAAGGAAGGGAGGAAGGUGAUUUAAAAAAUUACUUCUCUGGAACUAAGCUUAAUGGUCAAAAUUAUGCCAAGUUUAAAAUUCAUUUCUUUGUUAUUUCCAUUAACAUUGUUGUAUUCACGUAUAUAGUUUUCUCAAUCAAUUUCAUUGUAUCAAUUCAUGUACAUCUUCCUGGGUUUCCAAAUGUUCUUUUAUCUGUCAUUUUUCAUUGAAAAGAAAUAUUUCAUCAUGUUCAGGUAGCAUAAUUUGUUUAGCCAUCUCCCCAGUUGAUGGUUAGUUAUACUUUUCAGAUGUGAAAACUGAGUCUCAGAGAAGUCUCAGGGAAGCCAAAUUGUCUUGUCUAAGGUCACAUAGCUAAUAAAAGGUGGAGCCAGCAUUUAAGCCCAGAUUUUCUUACUCUUGGUAUAGUUCUUUCUAGUAUACUAUAUAUAUUUCUAAUUUCAUUCAUCUAUCCAUUCUUUCAGUAUUUGUUUAGUGACAAAUAUAUACAAUGCAUUUAUUAUAGAAAUAAAAUUUAGUUUUAAACUGCUAUGUAGAGUUACUUGAAGUUCACAAGAGAUAUUUAAUAGGCUAAGUCAUCAUAUAUUAUUAUUUUAAAUAUAAUCUCAGAGCUGGAAAAGAUUUGAGGUAAUCUGUCAUCCCAAUCCAGAGAUUUUUUUUUCAUAAGAGGAUGUUUAUUCAGCUCCUGUCUGAAUACAAAGAACUCACAAUUUUUUAUUUUGAUUUAAUGAACAAAAGAAAUGCAUACAUUUCUCAAGCUUUGAAAGGAAAUGCUAAAAUCUCAACUCCUCUGUUUGACCUCAAGGACUUUAAGGAUUUGAACUCUUCUUCUUUGAUUACUCUACUAGUAGAUUUCUUGUGUGCAAAUUCCCUAAGGGUAAGGGUCAUGCUUAAUAGUCCAACAUAGUGUUUUGCACAUAGUAGGUCAUUAAGUCAGUUAGUAGUCAACAAGCACAGACAUUUACUCUGGAAAUAUAAUGUGCAAUGUAGUAUGUGCUAAAUUUUGGAGAUGCAUUAAAAGCCCAAAAUAAUCCCUACUUCUAGGAGCUCACAUUUAUUGGAGAGGAAGACAACCUGAAAACAACUAUGUACAAACAUGCUAUGUACAAGAUAAGUUAAAGAUAACUUCAUAGAGAAGGCACCAGCAUUAAAAGGGACUAGCUAAAGCUUAAUAAACCAUGAUUAAAAGGAUUUUGUUUCCCACUAACUCUAAAAACCAUCCUCUUUAGUCCUUAUAACACCAGGAGCAUACCAUGCUCAUUAUUCUUUACCCUGUCCUGACUCAGGGUGUUCCGCAGACUUGGAACAGCUUCCCAUCUCCCCUUCUCUGUUGCCUAAAUGUGCCUUAGGUAGAGUCUCCCUUUUUUCUUUUCUCUCUUCUGAACAGUAUGUAAAAUGGCCUGGACAGGGUCAGUUAUUUGGCAAGGUAUACCAGGUAUCUGUUGGACUAUGGAUAUAGAAAUAGACAUGCAUUGGACUCCCUAUAAGAUCCUCUCUACAGAUCUCUUUAGCAAACCAUCAGAGAACAAUCUGAUUCUCCAGUUCUUAUCUGAUAUGUCUAAAAGAGUCAGUCCAGGAAUUCCUCUGCUUGGACAAAAAUCUCUUUCUUGACUGCAUCAGCAUGGAGGUGUAUAUAUGUGUGUGUGUAGCUUUCUUGCUGAAUUUUUCUGCCCCUCUCUCCCACACCUGGAAUCUAUAAAAGUAGUAGCUCUUAAAAUUCCAAGCUCAUAUAUAUAUACACACACAUAUAUUUACACAUACUCACACACACAUAUAUCCCUGGCAAAGGAACCAAUGAUGUAUUUCAUUAGUGUGGUGACAAUGGGGUAAUAGUUACCUAGGAAUAGGCACAUUUAUGCUUUGUCAAUGUUUUAAUGUGUCCAGAAAAUUUCACAUCUGGCUCAAGAAAUAGAAGGAGGACAGUUUUCUCCAGAGGACAUACCCAGGUACACUAUCUAUUCAAGAUCCUAUUCAAAUUUUCCUUUUUCAUAAAGCUAUCUUUGGUUACUCUAAUUCUCACCAAUCUCCUCUUCCUCUGAGGCUAUGUUAACAAGAAACAAGCUACCCACUUGGUCUAAGCAAAAGAUAACCAAUGGAUAGAGCACAUGUUCUAAAGAGUUAGAAGAAAGGAAGAUUACCAGUACAUUGAGUAGAUUCUCUCCUUUGUCACUUUAUGUGUCUAUGACACAUCACUCUGUAGAGGGAUCAUGGCAUAGUGAGAAGAACUUUGUUCUUUGAGAUGGAGGAAUCAAAUGCAAAUUGUGCUUCUAUCAUUUACUCCUUCUAUGGCUUUAUAUAAGAUAUCUAACUUCUAUGAGCUCAGUUUCUCACCUGUGAAAUGAACUUGGAAUAGGUAAUUCUUGAGGUUCCUUCCAGCUCUAAAUCUAUGAUCCUAAUGCUAGAUCAGGAGCCCUAGGAAUACUUACCAUCUUGUAUCAUUCUCUAAUUGAGAGGUAAUCAAUAAACACUUACUAAGUGCCAAUAUCAAUCAAUAAACAUUUACUAAGUGCCAACUACAUGCCUGCUACCAUACUAAACAAAUACUUGGGAUACAAAGUAAAAAAAGUUUGCCUUCUGGCAAGGUAGACUCUCUCUCUCUUUCUCUCUCUCUCUCUCUC